UACGAAGGGUGCAAGCGUUAAUCGGAAUUACUGGGCGUAAAGCGUGCGUAGACGGCUUUUUAAGUCUGCUGUGAAAGCCCUGGGCUCAACCUGGGAACUGCAGUGGAUACUGGGAAGCUGGAGUGCGGUAGAGGAUGGUGGAAUUCCCGGUGUAGCGGUGAAAUGCGUAGAGAUCGGGAGGAACAUCAGUGGCGAAGGCGGCCAUCUGGACCAGCACUGACGUUGAGGCACGAAAGCGUGGGGAGCAAACAGG
rnacentral:rRNA from 1 species